rnacentral:rRNA from 1 species
CCUACGGGAUGCAGCAGUGGGGAAUAUUGCACAAUGGGGGAAACCCUGAUGCAGCGACGCCGCGUGAGGGAAGAAGUAUUUCGGUAUGUAAAGAUCUAUCAGCAGGGAAGAAAAUGACGGUACCUGAUUAAGAAGCCCCGACUAACUACGUGCCAGCAGCCGCGGGAAUACGUAGGGGGCAAGCGUUAUCCGGAUUUACGGGGUGUAAAGGGAGCGUAGACGGCAGCACAAGUCUGGAGUGAAAUGCCGGGGCUUAACCCCGGAACUGCUUUGGAAACUGUGCAGCUAGAGUGCAGGAGAGGUAAGUGGAAUUCCUAGUGUAGCGGUGAAAUGCGUAGAUAUUAGGAAGAACACCAGUGGCGAAGGCGGCUUACUGGACUGUAACUGACGUUGAGGCUCGAAAGCGUGGGGAGCAAACAGGAUUAGAUACCCCUGUAGUC